rnacentral:rRNA from 1 species
GACGAACGCUGGCGGCGUGCUUAACACAUGCAAGUCGAACGGAAAGGCCCUUCGGGGUACUCGAGUGGCGAACGGGUGAGUAACACGUGGGUGAUCUGCCCUGCACUUUGGGAUAAGCCUGGGAAACUGGGUCUAAUACCGAAUAGGACCACGCGCUUCAUGGUGUGUGGUGGAAAGCUUUUGCGGUGUGGGAUGGGCCCGCGGCCUAUCAGCUUGUUGGUGGGGUAAUGGCCUACCAAGGCGACGACGGGUAGCCGGCCUGAGAGGGUGACCGGCCACACUGGGACUGAGAUACGGCCCAGACUCCUACGGGAGGCAGCAGUGGGGAAUAUUGCACAAUGGGCGCAAGCCUGAUGCAGCGACGCCGCGUGAGGGAUGACGGCCUUCGGGUUGUAAACCUCUUUCAAUAGGGACGAAGCGCAAGUGACGGUACCUAUAGAAGAAGCACCGGCCAACUACGUGCCAGCAGCCGCGGUAAUACGUAGGGUGCGAGCGUUGUCCGGAAUUACUGGGCGUAAAGAGCCCGUAGGUGGUUUGUCGCGUUGUUCGUGAAAACUCACAGCUUAACUGUGGGCGUGCGGGCGAUACGGGCAGACUAGAGUACUGCAGGGGAGACUGGAAUUCCUGGUGUAGCGGUGGAAUGCGCAGAUAUCAGGAGGAACACCGGUGGCGAAGGCGGGUCUCUGGGCAGUAACUGACGCUGAGGAGCGAAAGCGUGGGGAGCGAACAGGAUUAGAUACCCUGGUAGUCCACGCCGUAAACGGUGGGUACUAGGUGUGGGUUCCUUCCUUGGGAUCCGUGCCGUAGCUAACGCAUUAAGUACCCCGCCUGGGGAGUACGGCCGCAAGGCUAAAACUCAAAGGAAUUGACGGGGGCCCGCACAAGCGGCGGAGCAUGUGGAUUAAUUCGAUGCAACGCGAAGAACCUUACCUGGGUUUGACAUGCACAGGACGCCGGCAGAGAUGUCGGUUCCCUUGUGGCCUGUGUGCAGGUGGUGCAUGGCUGUCGUCAGCUCGUGUCGUGAGAUGUUGGGUUAAGUCCCGCAACGAGCGUAACCCUUGUCCUAUGUUGCCAGCGGGUUAUGCCGGGGACUCGUAGGAGACUGCCGGGGUCAACUCGGAGGAAGGUGGGGAUGACGUCAAGUCAUCAUGCCCCUUAUGUCCAGGGCUUCACACAUGCUACAAUGGCCGGUACAAAGGGCUGCGAUGCCGUGAGGUGGAGCGAAUCCUUUCAAAGCCGGUCUCAGUUCGGAUCGGGGUCUGCAACUCGACCCCGUGAAGUCGGAGUCGCUAGUAAUCGCAGAUCAGCAACGCUGCGGUGAAUACGUUCCCGGGCCU